UAGAGCCUAAAUCAAGACCAAAGGUUUGCUGUAGCUGUCAGCUUCAGAUGGGAGCCAACAGUGCUAUCUUCCCUAUGUCCUGUUAGCUAUUCAAGAUCCCACUGAGAAUAGCUAAUUCAGUUGGAAGAAGCAUAG
ensembl:snoRNA